UUCCCACAGAGGCAACAACUAUGAAGUUGCGAUGUCAAUAAAUCAGUCGGUGAGAUCCUUCCCACACGGCGUAAGACAUCAUCACUUAUGAUGCGGCGUCACCACAUCGAAUACAUAAGCCAACUAGGGCAUAACACAAAAUCCAUCCCAUCUUUACUGGAGGUAACAAAGAGCCUUUUGAAAUUGUCCUCUCAUCUCUGUCUCUCCCCCUCUCUGUUCCAUCGUCAUUUAAAGGGAAGAGGCAUAUUUCAGCAGGCAGGCCGCCCUUGUUCUUCCAUGGAUUUUCUUGUCUCUUCUGCUUCAAAUCUUGAUGUCCUUUGGCGCUGUUGGCUUUGGGGAUCAUCUUUCAGUCAAGUAAUACCGCUCUAUUUAGUUUUUCUUUUGCCGCACUCUGUUUUUAUUCCGUUUUUAUUGAUGUAUCUUUGUGGGAUUUCUUAAUUUUAGGUUCAGAAUCCCAUGUCAAUAAUUCUAGUAAUUGAACAUUAUUAAUGGUGGUUCUUUAUCAAUUACCCGUCAAGGAGAAAAACGCGAUUUGGUAAGUCGGGCUACCCAGUUUGAUUGUUCAUAUGGGGCUUGAUCAGUUUCCCGAAUUAGCUAAUAAGCUGGCGAUUCUAUUGAAUUUGAAGCUUACAAUAGCUUAAUUCUGUAUGAAAAUUUGUUUAAAAAUCUGGAUAGGUUAGUUACAUUUCAAUUUCUAUGUGAAUGAACUCUAUUAUUCCGAAGCGCUCAUUAAUGCUAAUGUUCUGCAACGCAUUGUUUAGGUGAA